UACGGAGGGGGCUAGCGUUGUUCGGAAUUACUGGGCGUAAAGCGCGCGUAGGCGGCUUUGUAAGUUAGAGGUGAAAGCCCGGGGCUCAACUCCGGAAUUGCCUUUAAGACUGCAUCGCUUGAAUCCGGGAGAGGUGAGUGGAAUUCCGAGUGUAGAGGUGAAAUUCGUAGAUAUUCGGAAGAACACCAGUGGCGAAGGCGGCUCACUGGACCGGUAUUGACGCUGAGGUGCGAAAGCGUGGGGAGCAAACAGG
rnacentral:rRNA from 1 species